CACUUUGAUUUGAGUUGAGUCUUGGUUCACCAAUCUACUAGGCUUUGAAUUUCAUGGUUAAUGUUUUGUUUUAAGUGCAUACAAGCAUGAUUCCGCCUUUUAAUUGUUAAUUGCAUGCUAUAGAUGUUGCUUAAAUGAACAUGUUUUUCACAAAAUUUCCUUCAGAUGCCAGCUGUUUGAGCAACUACGAUUUAGAGUGACUUGUUCUCGAUCUGAGUUGGUGGAAUUCAAGGGAAAUCUAUGAGAUUCAUGUGGGAUUUCUAAUGACUAGCAUGCAUAUACAAUUCAAAAUUUAUAUACGAAAGCAACGGAAGCAUGUUAUCAAAUAAUAUCAAAGCUAUAGUCAUGCAAAUCCCCUUGAAGGUUCAUAGGUUUAUAUAUCAUGCAUCAAAAUAUUUAAGUAAAGAACAAAGUAUAGGAAUAGAUCUAUACCUCUUGAUCUAGAUUUUAGACCAAGGAUGGACCACCUCCAAGUCCUUUGUUCCUUGAACUCCUUGAGCCUAGCCUCCCUCCUUGCCUCCUCCACUUUGUUAGUAUGAGUGCUCCUUUGGUUCUCCUUUAGUCUCCAAAGUAGAAGACCUCUAAAGAUCCACACCCACUAGUGUAGUGAGAUGAAUGGAGGAAUGACCAAAAGGGUGAAAAGAUGAUUAGCUAAAAUCACCCUUAAGGUGGCCGGCCUUUGGUGUUGAAGAGAGAGUAAUUUUCUUUUUCUCUUUAGUUGUUUUGAACACACAAAAACCCUAUGUAAAAAUAUCUCUAUAAAGUUCCUUAUAUAGACAAAAAGAAACCUAGUCAACAACUUGACUUUCACUCUCUCCCUUUCCCUUUAAGUGGCCGGCCUUUAGUGUUUGGUUUGGGCUUUGGGCUUUUAUUAUUUCAAGUCAUCCUAUGCUUAAAUAAAAGCCCAAUGGGUCUAGGCCCAAUGGGCCCGAUUAAACCCGAACGUUUCUUUAAGCCCAAAACGAUCUUAUAUCGCUUUUAUGAUUUCAUUAGACUUUCUAAAUAAUCACAACACUUAAUUAAUCCAAUUAAUUAUUUCCAUCAUCCAUUAGUGGUAUCACUACAAGAGUGUAUCGGUGUACAAUCAUUUUAGGUUCUAAUUAGCAAGGCAG
rnacentral:lncRNA from 1 species